GGGGGCUAGCGUUGCUCGGAAUCACUGGGCGUAAAGCGCACGUAGGCGGAUCUUUAAGUCAGGGGUGAAAUCCUGGAGCUCAACUCCAGAACUGCCUUUGAUACUGGGGAUCUCGAGUCCGGGAGAGGUGAGUGGAACUCCGAGUGUAGAGGUGAAAUUCGUAGAUAUUGGGAAGAACACCGGUGGCGAAGGCGGCGACCUGGUCCGAUACUGACGCUGAGGCGCGAAAGCGUGGGGAGCAAACAGG
rnacentral:rRNA from 1 species